AUGGCGGUGGGAGAUGUCGGCACUGGAGUCGUGGCCGUGGCGGGGAAGAUGAAGCGGGCGGAGCUAUGCCAGUGGCUCAAGAGGAAGACAAGGAAGGAUGUGAAGAUUUUUUGUCCUCGUCCACCGGCUGAGAAUCUUGUUAAGCAGUCUGUAGUUGCCCUUUCGUCAAACUCGUCGAGCAAAGGCGGCAUUGUAUCUCUGAAUUUUGACAACAAGCAAUUUUUGGGAGGGCUCGAGAAAAAACACACAUAUCAGGGGCUAGGCAACUUCACACUGCUAGAUGAAGGAAUUGACACACACAGUUCAAGCAACAUCAAAACUAUUCUAGGCAAGUGGCAGACAUCAGAGAGAAAGUCAGACUUUUUAAUAUGUGGGGACAUGUGGGCAUUGUGGAUUUUGUUGGAGAUUCCGGGAGGGCUGAGAGGGGGGAUCUGUGGUGUUGCUGUUGAACCGACCAGUGGUAGUGGUGUCGAAUCUCCUCCUGGCGACGCACGCCGUGACCGGCAGGGCCUGCUGCCCUGGUCCCCUACGCCAGCCCGUUCUACCUCCCUUCGGUGUCGGUUUCCUCCUCGAUCGUGCUUCAGCGUGCUGGCAGUCCAGUGUGCCGACCGAGCUCACCCCUCCGAGCUUCGGCAUAGAGGACUACCUAGGUCCCAGAUCGAGCACGGCCGUAGCGAUUGCAAUGUGUUUCCUAAAGGAUACCCAUCAACACGAGUAGUCAGCCCUAUAACACAUCCAUUUAAAAAUGACCAAAUUUGCUUACAGCGGUGCAGACCCCCAAACAAAACCUUUCCAAGCUAUCAAAGUAAUGCCCAAGUAAGGAAACCUCUACCAGCAAUCACCUACUCUCCAGUUUUCUUGUUUAGAGCCCAGCAGGUCCUUUCGAUGGGGUGGAUUCACUGCCCCCGUCCUCCUUUUGCAUGUGGGAGAAGAAAAGAAGAAGAGUGUGGGGACAGGUGGGGAGAGAAGAAGAAAGGAGGGAGGGGCCAAUGGGCACAGGGGCAGUUGAGAGGAGAGAAGCUGGGUGGAAGGGGGGACAUGGGAGACGGAUGUACGUGCACUCUUGUCUCCGUCAUUAUACCUAUUUUGGAAUCCAUGGCAGCAUGUUGUGCUUUGUCGGCACAUUCGUGCAUGUCUGAGGUCGCAGAUGAAGAAGCACCGAAUGAUCAUUAUAUUCUCCUCUGCUCUUAUCUUCUAUUGACAUAUUAUGGAUGCCUCCAUGAUUGCAUAGGCAUCCAACACAUCGGCGGUUUCAAGGCCGGUCCUGGGCGGCGCCUCGUCAGCGUCGUGGAUGGCUUGGGCAGCGCCUUGGCAUUCCAGAGGGGCAAAGUGGGCCGGCCAGCAUGCGUGGGGCGCAAAGGUGACGAGCAGGAGGGAGAUGCCCUGGAGGUGAUGGAGGAGGAAGUCGGAGGUGGCAUCAGCGUCCAUGGCGACGCCACCCCGGGAACCCUCCUGCACACCUCGGCAUGGCUCAUAUUGGACUGCAUUACUAAAUGUUCUAGGGUUGGAGAGAGCUUAGGAUGUACUCUUUCUGAUUCCUAUUGUGAGAUGUUCGUUUGUCUACCUAGUAAUAUGUGGAUAAUAUUUAGGGAGAUUAAGAUGCUCAAGAUCAAGGAAUGCAGACUGAAGGCUGCCAAUGAUACCCUUCAAGAAAGGCAAUAG
rnacentral:rRNA from 1 species